CAUUAAUCCAACAGUAUGUAAAAUUUAUUUUUUAAAAGCACUGCUAGUAUUUGUUACUUUCUGGUCUCUAGCUAGAUAGGAAGGAUGAAUGGAUUUAUAGCAAAUUGUCCGUUUCAGAACUGAAGUAGGGUACUUGAAGCAUACCAAGGCACUUUGAGGAAAAAAAAGAAAAGAAAAAAUAGAACAAUGCCUCAGCCACCUGUUGUUGGUCUAGCAUUCUUGUAUUUGGAGUCCUGGAAGUUGGAGUAGGGAGACAAAAAUGACUGAAAUUUUCCCUAAUUGAUAAAAACUAUAAGCCCAGAGUUAAGAAAUUCAACAAGCAAACUAAGACUUAAAACAAAGAAACCUCAUCAAGUACAUCAAAAUGAAAUUAUUGAAAGCAAGCAAAACAAAAUUGUAAAAGCAGAUGGAAAGGCAGGGGGAAAAGACAUUUCAUACAGAGGAAUCAAGAUAAGAAUGUCUACAUAUUCCUCCAAGUGAGAGACCUCCAUGUAAUAAGUGCUGAGAGAAAAACAAAAACUCCUGCUGUCCCAGAAUUCUGUGUUUAGCAAAAAUAUUCUUCACAAUUAAAGAUAAGAUUUUUCAGAAAGAAAACGUGAGAGAAUUUGUUAGCAAUAGAUACAUUCCAUAAGAAUUCUUAAGGACCCAUGGACAAUAUGGAGUUCAGAAAUUGACCUGUGUAUAUAUGGA
rnacentral:lncRNA from 1 species